rnacentral:rRNA from 1 species
AGCAGUGGGGAAUUUUGGACAAUGGGCGCAAGCCUGAUCCAGCAAUGCCGCGUGAGUGAAGAAGGCCUUCGGGUUGUAAAGCUCUUUUGUCAGGGAAGAAACGGUGAGAGCUAAUAUCUCUUGCUAAUGACGGUACCUGAAGAAUAAGCACCGGCUAACUACGUGCCAGCAGCCGCGGUAAUACGUAGGGUGCAAGCGUUAAUCGGAAUUACUGGGCGUAAAGCGUGCGCAGGCGGUUUUGUAAGUUUGUCGUGAAAGCCCCGGGCUCAACCUGGGAAUUGCGAUGAAGACUGCAAGGCUUGAAUCUGGCAGAGGGGGGUAGAAUUCCACGUGUAGCAGUGAAAUGCGUAGAGAUGUGGAGGAACACCGAUGACGAAGGCAGCCCCCUGGGUCAAGAUUGACGCUCAUG